rnacentral:rRNA from 1 species
UGGGGAAUAUUGGACAAUGGGCGAAAGCCUGAUCCAGCCAUGCCGCGUGUGUGAAGAAGGUCUUCGGAUUGUAAAGCACUUUAAGUUGGGAGGAAGGGCAGUAAGCUAAUACCUUGCUGUUUUGACGUUACCGACAGAAUAAGCACCGGCUAACUCUGAGCCAG